UGUUAAAAAUUUCAUUCAUUUCUACUGUUAAAAACCGACAUUAUUGAAAGAAUAACCAAACAAUAACACGUGGCAUGUCACUUAUUCUUUAUGCUGACAUAGAAUGACCAAUUUUUAACCGUAAAUAUGAAUAAAACUUUUAAUA
rfam:Gossypium hirsutum cultivar TM-1 chromosome 10, whole genome shotgun sequence